CUCUUCUCUCUCUCUCUCUCUCUGUCACACAUACUCUCUCUUGUUCCCUAUCUUCCUCUCUUUCUCUGCAUCCCACUACUAUUUUUUUCUCUGUUUGUUCCCAGGCCAUUCCCCUCCCGAGCACUGCUCUCCAUUUUCCCUCUUCUCUGUCUCUCCCAGGCUCUGGUCCGGACCUGUCCAGGUGGAUCUAUAAGGGCAAGAGACCCUGAGGAUCAUCUGAGCCCCUGUACCCUAACCUGACUCCCCAUCCAGGCCCGGCUUGAUCCUCCCAACCCAAGGACACACUGAACCUUCGGAGGAAGGGUCUGAGUGAGUGCUGACAUGGAACCUCAAAGAUGAGCUCUCAAAAGGGGGGCGGGUGGGGGACAGAGCACACUGCACAGAAAGUCAUCAUUAUUUCUGGAACAGGAGCAGAGAGUAGAUCUCUCAACCAAGACAGAUGGGGGAGGACGGGGGCAGGCUAGGAACCAGUGCACCAAGAAAGGUGCACAGGUGGGUGAGGGAGACAGGGAAAAGGGCCCAGGGCUGACUUCCAGAGCUUUUGACUUUCACAAAGGGCCCAAUGACACCACAGAAGAAGCAUGUGAGUCACCAACACUGACUCAGGCUCCGGCUGGCUGGUGACAGAACAGGGCAUUCCAGAUGUCACUCAGGAAGCCCAAGAGGACUCCAAGCCUGGGGAGAGCUCCUGCUGCCUGAGACAAAGAGGCAUCCAGCAGAGGCAGGGACCUCCCACUUCCUUCCCCAGGACCUGAGGCCUUCACACUCGCUCUCUUGCCACCAUGCCUGUCUUUCAGCUCUCACUCUCAUCUCUUCUCAUCGGCAUUCUACUGACCAGCCCUUGGGUCUUCUGUUCUGCUCCUGGGGGACCCUGGGCUCACAUGUGGCCGGAGCCCUGGCUCCUGGGGCCCCUCGGGGAGAACUCAGGGUGCUAUAAGACAGUGUCACCGCCACGCUGGUCAGAGGGGUGGGCGAGAGGAUGGUGCUCAGCUGCCCUGUGGGCCUCCCAAGGGGGCCUGCCCGCCCCCACCAGGGAUGGUCUAGCCGACACCGCAAUCAAGCGCUCACCCCACCUAAAACCAGGGCCAGCUGGGUCCUUGGGAUGCCUCCAAAGACAUCAUGAGGUCCCUCUCAGUGCCCCCAGCCCUCCACCCAGCCCAGCCAAACACGCACCCACCAAACCCCAGGGAGGCAACUCAGCCCUCCCUCCUCCAGGGGGCGCUCUCCAGCCCACGCAGACAAUGGACUGGAGGCACUUUCAGGACAACAAGGUGCCCUUGGAGACAGAAUCCCAGCAGGAGCCCCACGCCCAGUGGAGAGGCCUCCGCCCUGCUUCUGAAGCGGCAGGCGCUGGCCUCAAUAAUCCCCCAGCCGUGGGCCGAGUUGGCAUCCUCCGACCCCUGCGGCCACUGCCAGGAAGCAGCAGCUUGGGGCCGUGGAGAGACCCGAAGCCUGGAUUCCACUUCUGGCCACACCAUAGCCCAUGGUGGGGCUGACGGUGGCUCCUUCCGUGCACCGCUCCUACCACAGGAGCGGACUGGGGGGAAAACGAGUCCCGGCUCCAGGAGCUCACCGGAGUCCGGACAGGCCCAAGCCGGCAAAUGGAUGGGAAAGGCAGGUGUAUUGGGGCUGGAAGGGCCUUUGGGAUCUUCUCACUUAACAGAGGCUGCAUCAUGAGUUCUGUGGGGCCCUUGGCAUCUUCGUCUUCAUGGGUCUCUUCCUCCACACACACAAAUUCAUAUUAAAAUCAUAUUUUAUGGCCAAGCAAGGUGGCUCAUGUCUACAAUCCCAGCACACCAGCACUGUGGGAAGCAGAGGUGGGAGGAUGGCUUGGCCUGGGAGGCAGAGGUUGCAGUGAGCCAAGAUUGUGCCACUGCACUCCAGCCUGGGCAACAGAGCAAAAUUCCAUCUCAAAAAGAUUACAUUUUAUGACUGCUUUGGGAUCAAAAUGAAUGUAUUAAUAUUAUAUGUUAAAACUAUUUUCCUCAACCUAAAAGUAUAUUCUUUCUCUGCUGACUUUAAAAUAAAUGAAAACAUUUUUGUAUGCCUGCUGUGCUG
rnacentral:lncRNA from 13 species